rnacentral:misc_RNA from 1 species
CCCAACUAUCCCUAUUAAUCAUUACGGCGAUCCUAGAAACCAACAAAAUAGAACCGUACCGUCCUAUUUCAUUAUUCCAUGCUUAUGUCUGAAUACAUUAGCAUGGAAUAAUGAAAUAGGACGGUACGGUUCUAUUUCAUUAUUCCAUGCUAAUGUAUUCAGACAUAAGCCUGCUUUAAACACUCUAAUUUUUUCAAAGUAACAGUCCUGAUUCCCCAACACACUAACUAAAUAGCAUGAAGGUUCUUCAGAAGGUAGAAACUCGUCUCACCAGUACAGACAAUUAAGCCUGACCAAUGGACGAAUUCCGAAGUUCAACUACGAGCUUUUUAACUGCAACAACUUUAAUAUACGCUAUUGGAGCUGGAAUUACCGCGGCUGCUGGCACCAGACUUGCCCUCCAA